rnacentral:rRNA from 1 species
CUACGGGUUGCUGCAGUAAGGAAUAUUGGUCAAUGGACGCAAGUCUGAACCAGCCAUGCCGCGUGCAGGAAGACGGUCCUCUGGAUUGUAAACUGCUUUUGUUAGGGAAGAAACCCCUGGAUGCGUCCGGGGCUGACGGUACCUAAAGAAUAAGGAUCGGCUAACUCCGUGCCAGCAGCCGCGGUAAUACGGAGGAUCCAAGCGUUAUCCGGAUUUAUUGGGUUUAAAGGGUGCGUAGGCGGCGUUGUAAGUCAGUGGUGAAAGUUUGCAGCUUAACUGUAAAAUUGCCAUUGAUACUGCAGUGCUUGAGUAUAGAUGAGGUGGGCGGAAUGUGUCAUGUAGCGGUGAAAUGCAUAGAUAUGACACAGAACACCGAUUGCGAAGGCAGCUCACUAAACUAUAACUGACGCUGAGGCACGAAAGCGUGGGGAUCAAACAGGAUUAGAUACCCCGGUAGUC